rnacentral:rRNA from 1 species
AACGCUGCGGCGUUCUUACACAUGCAAGUCGAGCGGUAAGGCUCCUUCGGGGGUACACGAGCGGCGAACGGGUGAGUAACACGUGAGUAAUCUGCCCAUGGCUCUGGGAUAAGCACUCGAAAGGGUGUCUAAUACCGGAUAUGACCAUUCCACGCAUGUGGUGGUGGUGGAAAGUUUUUUCGGCUAUGGAUGUGCUCGCGGCCUAUCAGCUUGUUGGUGGGGUAAUGGCCUACCAAGGCUUUGACGGGUAGCCGGCCUGAGAGGGUGACCGGUCACACUGGGACUGAGACACGGCCCAGACUCCUACGGGAGGCAGCAGUGGGGAAUAUUGGACAAUGGGCGGAAGCCUGAUCCAGCAACGCCGCGUGAGGGAUGACGGCCUUCGGGUUGUAAACCUCUUUCAGUACCGACGAAGCGGAAGGACGGUAGGUACAGAAGAAGCACGGC